rnacentral:rRNA from 1 species
GAUGAACGCUAGCGGCGUGCCUAAUGCAUGCAAGUCGAGCGGACAGAUGGGAGCUUGCUCCCUGAUGUUAGCGGCGGACGGGUGAGUAACACGUGGGUAACCUGCCUGUAAGACUGGGAUAACUCCGGGAAACCGGGGCUAAUACCGGAUGGUUGUUUGAACCGCAUGGUUCAAACAUAAAAGGUGGCUUCGGCUACCACUUACAGAUGGACCCGCGGCGCAUUAGCUAGUUGGUGAGGUAACGGCUCACCAAGGCAACGAUGCGUAGCCGACCUGAGAGGGUGAUCGGCCACACUGGGACUGAGACACGGCCCAGACUCCUACGGGAGGCAGCAGUAGGGAAUCUUCCGCAAUGGACGAAAGUCUGACGGAGCAACGCCGCGUGAGUGAUGAAGGUUUUCGGAUCGUAAAGCUCUGUUGUUAGGGAAGAACAAGUACCGUUCGAAUAGGGCGGUACCUUGACGGUACCUAACCAGAAAGCCACGGCUAACUACGUG